CUACGGGAUGCAGCAGUAAGGAAUAUUGCGCAAUGGAGGCAACUCUGACGCAGCCAUGCCGCGUGCAGGAAGAAGGCCUUAUGGGUCGUAAACUGCUUUUAUUUAGGAAUAAACCCCCGAACGUGUUCGGGGCUGAAGGUACUGAAUGAAUAAGCACUGGCUAACUCCGUGCCAGCAGCCGCGGUAAUACGGAGGGUGCAAGCGUUAUCCGGAUUUAUUGGGUUUAAAGGGUGCGCAGGCGGGCUAUUAAGUCAGUGGUGAAAUCCCGGGGCUCAACUCCGGAACUGCCAUUGAUACUGAUAGUCUUGAGUUUGGUUGAAGUGGGCGGAAUGUAGCAUGUAGCGGUGAAAUGCAUAGAUAUGCUACAGAACACCAAUCGCGAAGGCAGCUCACUAAGCCAAAACUGACGCUCAUGCACGAAAGCGUGGGGAUCAAACAGGAUUAGAUACCCUGGUAGUC
rnacentral:rRNA from 1 species